CACAGACCACUUACCAUGGACUUAGGGCUUAUACUGAUUUUCUCUGUCCUUAUUUUAAAAGAUGUUCAGUGUGAGGUGCAGUUGCUGGAGUCUGGAGGAGGCUUAGUGCAGCCUGGAAAGUCCCUGAAACUCUCCUGUGCAGCCUCUGCAUUCACCUUCAGUAGUUCUGACAUGAACUGGUUCAGCCAGGCUCCGAGGAAGGGGCUGGAGUGGAUGGCAUACAUUAGUUAUAAUGGUGGUACCACCAGUUAUACUGACGCUGUGAAGGGCCGGUUCACAAUCUCCAGAAACAAUGCCAAGAACACUCUAUACCUGGAAAUGAGCAGACUGAGGUCUGAAGACACAGCCAUCUAUUAUUGUGCAAGAGACACAACACAGUGA